rnacentral:rRNA from 1 species
CAGUCGCCACGGGAAUACGUAGGGUGCAAGCGUUAAUCGGAAUUACUGGGCGUAAAGCGUGCGCAGGCGGUUUUGUAAGACAGAGGUGAAAUCCCCGGGCUCAACCUGGGAACUGCCUUUGUGACUGCAAGGCUAGAGUACGGCAGAGGGGGAUGGAAUUCCGCGUGUAGCAGUGAAAUGCGUAGAUAUGCGGAGGAACACCGAUGGCGAAGGCAAUCCCCUGGGCCUGUACUGACGCUCAUGCACGAAAGCGUGGGGAGCAAACAGGAUUAGAUACCCGUAGUCCCUGUCUCUUAUACAC